rnacentral:tRNA from 1 species
GGUAAAAUGGCUGAGUAAGCAUUAGACUAUAAAUCUAAAGACAAGAGGUCAAGGCCUUUUUACCA